UGGAUAGGAAUCUCCCCAAUGGCUCGGAAUACCUCAUCGAAAGAUGAGCUAAUACCGGAUGACGCCGCAAGGCAAAAGCGCUUAACCGCGCGCCGAUGGAUGAGCCUAUCUCCCAUCAGGCUGUUGGUAGGGUAAUGGCCUACCAAACCUAUGACGGGUACCCGCCCUGAGAGGGGAAACGGGCAGAAUGGGACUGAGACACGGCCCAUACACCUACGGGUGGCAGCAACAGGGAAUCGUACGCAAUGGACGAAAGUCUGACGUCGCAAUGCCGCGUGGAGGAUGAAGGCCCUCGGGUCGUAAACUCCUUUUUACGGUAAUAGAGAUAUUACCGAGAAUAAGCACCUGCUAACUCUGUGCCAGCAGCCGCGGUAAUACAGAGGGUGCAAGCGUUAUCCGGAUUUAUUGGGCGUAAAGCGUUUCGUAGGCGAUUUGGCAAGUUAUUUUUCAAAUACCACGGCUUAACCGGGGGAAGGGAGAUAAUACUACCAGAUUUGAUUUUUGGUGGGGCAUCUGGAACUGAUGGUGUAGUAGUGAAAUACGUUGAUAUCAUCAGGAACUCCAAGGGCGAAGGCAGGAUGCUAAUCAAUUAAUGACGCUGAGGAACGACAGCUAGGGGAGCGAAAGGGAUUAGAGACCCCUGUAGUCCUAGCCGUAAACUUUGCUCGCUAGGGGUUGGGCCGUAAGGCUUGGCCCCGUAAGCUAACGCGUUAAGCGAGCCGCCUGGGGAGUACGGCCGCAAGGCUAAAACUCAAAGGAAUUGACGGGGACCUGCACAAUCAGUGGAGCAUGUGGUUUAAUUCGAGACGAAACGAAGAACCUUACCCAGCCUUGACAUGAUACCGUUUAUGCACUCAGAAAUGAGAGCAAAUCUUUAGAAAUAUCGAUGGUACCACAGGUGUUGCAUGGCCGUCGUAAGCUCGUGCCGUAGGGUGUUCCCUUCAGUGGGGUAAUGAGCGCAACCCUUGUCCUGAGUUGAAUAUUCUCAGGAGACUACCUAAAUUUAUUUUAGGUGGAAGUGAGGACGACGUCAGGUCAGCAUGGCCCUUAUAGCUGGGGCUACACACAUGCUACAAUGGAGCCGACAGAGGGUUUGCCAAGCCGUAAGGCGGAGCUAAUCCCAAAAACGGCUUCUCAGUGGGGAUUGAGGGCUGCAACUUGCCCUCAUGAACGCGGAAUUGAUAGUAAUCGCAAAUCAGCUACGUUGCGGUGAAUACGUUCUCGGGUCUUGUACACACCGCCCGUCAAGUGAGUAAAGUUGGAAAUACCUUAAAUCCGAUUGUAUCGGAUCAAGGUAGAGCCAGCGAUAAGCACUAAGUCGUAACAAGGUA
rnacentral:rRNA from 1 species